UCUUCAGAUAGCAUAAAUCUUUCACCUUUUACUAAAGAUUUCCAUGGGGA
rnacentral:snRNA from 1 species